rnacentral:rRNA from 1 species
GGCGGGGUAAAGGCCCACCAAGGCAACGAUGGGUAGCCGACCUGAGAGGGUGAUCGGCCACACUGGAACUGAGAGACGGUCCAGACUCCUACGGGAGGCAGCAGUGGGGAAUAUUGGGCAAUGGGGGAAACCCUGACCCAGCAACGCCGCGUGAGGGAAGAAGGCUUUCGGGUCGUAAACCUCUGUCCCAUGGGAAGAGCGGAAGACGGUACCAUGGGAGGAAGCCCCGGCUAACUACGUGCCAGCAGCCGCGGUAAUACGUAGGGGGCGAGCGUUGUCCGGAAUGACUGGGCGUAAAGGGCGCGUAGGCGGCUUGACAAGUCCGGAGUGAAAGUCCCGCUUUCAAGGUGGGAAUGGCUUUGGAAACUGUGAGGCUUGAGUGUGGGAGAGGAUAGCGGAAUUCCCGGUGUAGCGGUGAAAUGCGUAGAGAUCGGGAGGAACACCAGUGGCGAAGGCGGCUAUCUGGACCAAGACUGACGCUGAGGCGCGAAAGCGUGGGUAGCAAACAGGAUUAGAUACCCUGGUAGUCCACGCUGUAAACGAUGGAUGCUAGGUGUAGGAGGUACCGACCCC